GUGCCAGCCCCGCGGUAAAACCAGCACCUCAAGUGGUCAGGAGGAUUAUUGGGCCUAAAGCAUCCGUAGCCGGCUCUGUAAGUUUUCGGUUAAAUCCAUGUGCUCAACGCAUGGGCUGCCGAAAAUACUGCAUAGCUAGGGAGUGGGAGAGGUAGACGGUACUCGGUAGGAAGGGGUAAAAUCCUUUGAUCUAUCGAUGACCACCUGUGGCGAAGGCGGUCUACCAGAACACGUUCGACGGUGAGGGAUGAAAGCUGGGGGAGCAAACCGGAUUAGAUACCCGGGUAGUCCCAGCUGUAAACGAUGCAGACUCGAUGAUGCAUUGGCAUAUAGCCAGUGCAGUGUCGCAGGGAAGCCGUUAAGUCUGCCGCCUGGGAAGUACGUACGCAAGUAUGAAACUUAAAGGAAUUGGCGGGGGAGCACCACAAGGGGUGAAGCCUGCGGUUCAAUUGGAGUCAACGCCAGAAAUCUUACCCGGAGAGACAGCAGAAUGAAGGUCAAGCUGAAGACUUUACCAGACAAGCUGAGAGGUGGUGCAUGGCCGUCGCCAGCUCGUGCCGUGAGAUGUCCUGUUAAGUCAGGUAACGAGCGAGAUCCUCGCCACUAGUUGCUAUCAUUAUUCUCAGGAAUAGUGGGGCGAAUUAGUGGGACUGCCGUUGUUAAAACGGAGGAAGGAGGGGGCUACGGCAGGUCAGUAUGCCCCGAAACUCUGGGGCCACACGCGGGCUGCAAUGGUAGCGACAAUGAGCUCCAAACUCGAAAGAGAGUGGCAAUCUCUAAACGCUACCACAGUUAUGACUGAGGGCUGUAACUCGCCCUCACGAAUAUGGAAUCCCUAGUAACCGCGUGUCAUUACCGCGCGGUGAAUACGUCCCUGCUCCU
rnacentral:rRNA from 1 species